UAGGGAAUCUUCCACAAUGGACGAAAGUCUGAUGGAGCAACGCCGUGUGAGUGAAGAAGGUUUUCGGAUCGUAAAGCUCUGUUGUUGGUGAAGAAGGAUAGAGGCAGUAACUGGUCUUUAUUUGACGGUAAUCAACCAGAAAGUCACGGCUAACUACGUGCCAGCAGCCGCGGUAAUACGUAGGUGGCAAGCGUUGUCCGGAUUUAUUGGGCGUAAAGCGAGCGCAGGCGGAAUGAUAAGUCUGAUGUGAAAGCCCACGGCUCAACCGUGGAACUGCAUCGGAAACUGUCAUUCUUGAGUGCAGAAGAGGAGAGUGGAACUCCAUGUGUAGCGGUGGAAUGCGUAGAUAUAUGGAAGAACACCAGUGGCGAAGGCGGCUCUCUGGUCUGCAACUGACGCUGAGGCUCGAAAGCAUGGGUAGCGAACAGGAUUAGAUACCCUGGUAGUCCAUGCCGUAAAACGAUGAGCGCUAGGUGUUGGGGACUUUCCGGUCCUCAGUGCCGCAGCAAAACGCAUUAAGCGCUCCGCCUGGGGAGUACGACCG
rnacentral:rRNA from 1 species